UUGAAGAGUUUGAUCAUGGCUCAGAUUGAACGCUGGCGGCAGGCCUAACACAUGCAAGUCGAACGGUAACAGGAAACAGCUUGCUGUUUCGCUGACGAGUGGCGGACGGGUGAGUAAUGUCUGGGAAACUGCCUGAUGGAGGGGGAUAACUACUGGAAACGGUAGCUAAUACCGCAUAAUGUCGCAAGACCAAAGAGGGGGACCUUCGGGCCUCUUGCCAUCGGAUGUGCCCAGAUGGGAUUAGCUAGUAGGUGGGGUAACGGCUCACCUAGGCGACGAUCCCUAGCUGGUCUGAGAGGAUGACCAGCCACACUGGAACUGAGACACGGUCCAGACUCCUACGGGAGGCAGCAGUGGGGAAUAUUGCACAAUGGGCGCAAGCCUGAUGCAGCCAUGCCGCGUGUAUGAAGAAGGCCUUCGGGUUGUAAAGUACUUUCAGCGGGGAGGAAGGGAGUAAAGUUAAUACCUUUGCUCAUUGACGUUACCCGCAGAAGAAGCACCGGCUAACUCCGUGCCAGCAGCCGCGGUAAUACGGAGGGUGCAAGCGUUAAUCGGAAUUACUGGGCGUAAAGCGCACGCAGGCGGUUUGUUAAGUCAGAUGUGAAAUCCCCGGGCUCAACCUGGGAACUGCAUCUGAUACUGGCAAGCUUGAGUCUCGUAGAGGGGGUAGAAUUCCAGGUGUAGCGGUGAAAUGCGUAGAGAUCUGGAGGAAUACCGGUGGCGAAGGCGGCCCCCUGGACGAAGACUGACGCUCAGGUGCGAAAGCGUGGGGAGCAAACAGGAUUAGAUACCCUGGUAGUCCACGCCGUAAACGAUGUCGACUUGGAGGUUGUGCCCUUGAGGCGUGGCUUCCGGAGCUAACGCGUUAAGUCGACCGCCUGGGGAGUACGGCCGCAAGGUUAAAACUCAAAUGAAUUGACGGGGGCCCGCACAAGCGGUGGAGCAUGUGGUUUAAUUCGAUGCAACGCGAAGAACCUUACCUGGUCUUGACAUCCACAGAACUUUCCAGAGAUGGAUUGGUGCCUUCGGGAACUGUGAGACAGGUGCUGCAUGGCUGUCGUCAGCUCGUGUUGUGAAAUGUUGGGUUAAGUCCCGCAACGAGCGCAACCCUUAUCCUUUGUUGCCAGCGGUCCGGCCGGGAACUCAAAGGAGACUGCCAGUGAUAAACUGGAGGAAGGUGGGGAUGACGUCAAGUCAUCAUGGCCCUUACGACCAGGGCUACACACGUGCUACAAUGGCGCAUACAAAGAGAAGCGACCUCGCGAGAGCAAGCGGACCUCAUAAAGUGCGUCGUAGUCCGGAUUGGAGUCUGCAACUCGACUCCAUGAAGUCGGAAUCGCUAGUAAUCGUGGAUCAGAAUGCCACGGUGAAUACGUUCCCGGGCCUUGUACACACCGCCCGUCACACCAUGGGAGUGGGUUGCAAAAGAAGUAGGUAGCUUAACCUUCGGGAGGGCGCUUACCACUUUGUGAUUCAUGACUGGGGUGAAGUCGUAACAAGGUAACCGUAGGGGAACCUGCGGUUGGAUCACCUCCUU
rnacentral:rRNA from 1 species